AAUCGGAAUUACUGGGCGUAAAGCGUGCGCAGGCGGUUUGUUAAGUCUGCUGUGAAAUCCCCGAGCUCAACUUGGGAAUUGCAGUGGAUACUGGCAAGCUGGAGUACGGUAGAGGAAGGUGGAAUUCCCGGUGUAGCAGUGAAAUGCGUAGAGAUCGGGAGGAACACCAGUGGCGAAGGCGGCCUUCUGGACCAGUACUGACGCUCAUGCACGAAAGCGUGGGGAGCAAACAGG
rnacentral:rRNA from 1 species